rnacentral:rRNA from 1 species
AUUGAACGCUGGCGGCAGGCCUAACACAUGCAAGUCGAGCGGAUGAAGGGAGCUUGCUCCUGGAUUCAGCGGCGGACGGGUGAGUAAUGCCUAGGAAUCUGCCUGGUAGUGGGGGAUAACGUCCGGAAACGGGCGCUAAUACCGCAUACGUCCUGAGGGAGAAAGUGGGGGAUCUUCGGACCUCACGCUAUCAGAUGAGCCUAGGUCGGAUUAGCUAGUUGGUGGGGUAAAGGCCUACCAAGGCGACGAUCCGUAACUGGUCUGAGUGGAUGAUCAGUCACACUGGAACUGAGACACGGUCCCGACUCCUACGGGAGGCAGCAGUGGGGAAUAUUGGACAAUGGGCGAAAGCCUGAUCCAGCCAUGCCGCGUGUGUGAAGAAGGUCUUCUGAUUGUAAAGCACUUUAAGUUGGGAGGAAGGGCAGUAAGUUAAUACCUUGCUGUUUUGACGUUACCAACAGAAUAAGCACCGGCUAACUUCGUG